GACGAACGCUGGCGGCGUGCUUAACACAUGCAAGUCGAACGGAAAGGCCCUGCUUUUGUGGGGUGCUCGAGUGGCGAACGGGUGAGUAACACGUGAGUAACCUGCCCUUGACUUUGGGAUAACUUCAGGAAACUGGGGCUAAUACCGGAUAGGAGCUCCUGCUGCAUGGUGGGGGUUGGAAAGUUUCGGCGGUUGGGGAUGGACUCGCGGCUUAUCAGCUUGUUGGUGGGGUAGUGGCUUACCAAGGCUUUGACGGGUAGCCGGCCUGAGAGGGUGACCGGCCACAUUGGAACUGGGAUACGGCCCAGCUUCCUACGGGAGGCAGCAGUGGGGAAUAUUGCACAAUGGGCGGAAGCCUGAUGCAGCAACGCCGCGUGCGGGAUGACGGCCUUCGGGUUGUAAACCGCUUUCGCCUGUGACGAGGCGUGAGUGACGGUAGUGGGUAAAGAAGCACCGGCUAACUACGU
rnacentral:rRNA from 1 species